rnacentral:rRNA from 1 species
AACGAACGCUGGCGGCAUGCCUAACACAUGCAAGUCGAACGAAGGCUUCGGCCUCAGUGGCGCACGGGUGCGUAACGCGUGGGAAUCUGCCCCUCGGUUCGGAAUAACAGUUAGAAAUGACUGCUAAUACCGGAUGAUGACUUCGGUCCAAAGAUUUGUCGCCGAGGGAUGAGCCCGCGUAAGAUUAGGUAGUUGGUGGGGUAAAGGCCUACCAAGCCGACGAUCUUUAGCUGGUCUGAGAGGAUGAUCAGCCACACUGGGACUGAGACACGGCCCAGACUCCUACGGGAGGCAGCAGUGGGGAAUAUUGGACAAUGGGCGAAAGCCUGAUCCAGCAAUGCCGCGUGAGUGAUGAAGGCCUUAGGGUUGUAAAGCUCUUUUACCAGGGAUGAUAAUGACAGUACCUGGAGAAUAAGCUCCGGCUAACUCCGUGCCAGCAGCCGCGGUAA